UGUGCAGUUCAAGUCUGCAGACAUUUGCUAAUCUCCCGUCAGAACAGGAUCUGCACACGUGUUCACAUUUUCCAUCUGUUGCCCUCAUUGUUUUCGUUACUAAUAAUAACUUUGGAAAUGUGUGCGUUUCUAUCAAAUGGCGCAGCGGUCAAAGGCACAACACGGGGUCAAAGGCACAGCACGGUGCUAGAGACGUCACUACAGACUCCCUGGUUCAAAUCCAUGCUGCGUUUCUAACAUGGCUCUGUUCUGCCCUGCCUUGCCCCCUUGUGGAGCUCAAAAAAACCAAAAACAGUAUUUGCCAAUAUCAUAACUGGACAUCUUUCGAGCUGAAGAUUGAGGACAGCUUUUGUAUGCUAACGUUCUCUCCUUAACAGUUUUACUGGAUGGAAACACAGCAAGAAAACACAUAGGCCAAUAUUGACUGAACAACAACUGCAUUUCCACCCCCACCUCUAAAGGCAUAGUAUCAUGGCAGGUCACCUGUCAAGUCACCUGUCAGGCAGACUUUGCAGUGCCUCCGUGUGCGACUACCUUGAGCAGCAGUUUGAGGGACUUUGCAGGGAAAAUGCCGUGCAGUGAGGCGUAGGGGAUUGUCUAAAGCAGGGCGACCCCCAGUGGAGGGGCGCCGAGGGGUGUGGUGCUCCUCCAACAGCUCUCUCAUGAGGUUCUCUCUGUAUUUUUGGUGGUCCACCUUCCCUGUGGCCGACAUGGUUGCUGUAUGGACAGUGGAGAGGACAUGGACGUCUCUUUUGUCAUGCCACUAUACUGCCAGCUGUUGACCGUUCUCCUGGAACUCCACCUCCCCUCUCUGCAUCUUCCUGCAUCCGAAUGCCGGCAUCCCCGUCCUGUUCGACCUGACUGUGCCACAGGCCCCUGUGCUGUUGGAGAGCAGAUGCUGGAAGAGUGUGGGUCUGCUGUACCAAUUGUCCACGUACAAAGUGUGUCCCUUGCCGAGAUGAGGAGCCAGCAUGGUCAUCACCACGGACCCAGACACCCCAAGCCCCUCAUAAUGUUUGAUGUCAGUGGUAGACCCUGUGUACACUAUAAUAUCCAGGACAUAUCCUGUCUUCACGUCGCACAUGACAAAGAACUUGACCCCAAACCUGUGCCUUUUGGAGGGAAUAUAUUGACGGAACGCCAGCCUACCUUUCCAUAACAUCAGGGACUCAUCAAUGCAUAGGUCCUUGUAUGGCACAAAGACCCGACCAAAUGCUGAUGUCAGGCUGAUAAGAACAAUUCUUAUUUUGUAUAACUGGUCACUUAGGAUGGCAGUAGCAUUGUUGACGAAAUGCAGGCAUCGCAGCAGAAUUAGGAAGCGGUCUUGGGAAAAGAGGGUUGCAAAGAAGGGAGUUGCAAACAUAGGAUCUGUGCUCCAGUAGUCUCUUAGGGAGUUCUUCUUUACUAUCCCCAUGAGGAGGACUGUCACCAGGAAGGUAUACAUUUCACUAAUUGUGGUUGUCACCCAUUUAGCGAGUUUCCCCCUCACUCCUGGCUCUCUCUUCUCCUGUAGCUCCAAGGCAUAGCGAUUGGUCUCCUGUACUAUGUUUCCCACGAGCUCCUCUGUCAGAAACAACUUGAAGCACUCUGCCUCAGUUGGAAAUGGCAAGGGGCGUUGCACUCCAGACUGGGACUCGUCAAAGCAAACAGCAGGGCCAGGAGGGGUGAAAUGGCUGGCGGCCUUCCAGCUACCACAGAACUCUUGUACUUCAUCCACUGUCGGUCUGCCUCCAUCACCACCAGCAUCUUCAAAGGGACCUGGUACUUCGUCAGUGGACAAGGGAACCUCAGAUUCAGGGUUCUCAAUGGCUACAAGGUUGGGGGGCAGCUCCUCACUGUCACUGUCAGAAUCUGAUUCCUGACUUUCAUACUCAGACUCAUUGUCAGAAUUUAAAAAAAUCUCCAGAAUUUCCACAUUUGUGAGUUGUCUCCUUUUGAAAGACAUUGCUAUUGCUACAGCUUAGCUCACGAGCUACAUACAUAAACAACAACACUGAAUGGCUCAGAGUGAGAGGGUACGUGAUUGACUGCCGGCAUGCGUCACUUGUAUCAAUAAAUCACCAUCAGAAAAUGUUUUGUGUGGUAAUUAUUUGUGUAUUUACU
rnacentral:lncRNA from 1 species